AAAGUGGAGUGCAGCCAAGGGUGAUUUGCCGGCACUAAUUACUAUUAUUGCAUUGGUUGAAUGAUUUGCUUCUGUUGCCGGCAAGUUUCUCUUGGCUACAUUUUGCUUUCU
rfam:Cajanus cajan Scaffold133454_2, whole genome shotgun sequence.